AUACGUCGGGGGCGCGCGUUGUCCGGAAUGAUUGGGCGUAAAGGGCGCGUAGGCGGCCCGGUAAGUCUGGAGUGAAAGUCCUGUUUUUAAGAUGGGAAUUGCUUUGGAUACUGUCGGGCUUGAGUGCAGGAGAGGUAAGUGGAAUUCCCAGUGUAGCGGUGAAAUGCGUAGAGAUUGGGAGGAACACCAGUGGCGAAGGCGACUUACUGGACUGUAACUGACGCUGAGGCGCGAAAGUGUGGGGAGCAAACAGGAUUAGAUACCCUGGUAGUCCACACUGUAAACGAUGAAUGCUAGGUGUAGGGGGUAUCGACCCCUUCUGUGCCGCAGUCAACACAAUAAGCAUUCCGCCUGGGGAGUACGGCCGCAAGGUUGAAACUCAAAUGAAUUGACGGGG
rnacentral:rRNA from 1 species